GGCGGCCUUAACCAUGCAAGUCGAGCGGUAGCACUGGUAGCUUGCUCCCGGCUGGCGAGCGGCGUGACGGGUGAGUAAUGCAUACUGAAUCUGCCCGGUAGUGGGGGAUAACGAGGGGAAACCCACGCUAAUACCGCAUACGUCCUACGGGAGAAAGCGGAUGAUCUACGGACUUCGCGCUAACGGAUGAGCCUAUGUCGGAUUAGCUGGUUGGUAAGGUAACGGCUUACCAAGGCCGGACGGAGUCCUGUGGUCUGUGUCUAGAGCAGGAUGACCAGCCUCGCUGGUGACUGACACACGGCCCACACUCCUACGGGAGGCAGCAGUGGGGAAUAUUGGACAAUGGGCGAAAGCCUGAUCCAUCCAUGCCGCGUGUGUGAAGAAGGCUUUCUGGUUGUAAAGCACUUUCAGCGAGGAAGAAGGCCUCUGGGUUAAUACCCCAGAGGAUGGACAUCACUCGCAUAAGAAUGCACUCGCGCUGACAUCCAGUGCGCAGGCAACCAGCGGUAAUACGGAGGGUGCUCAGCGAUUACAUCUGGAGAUUUACUAGGGGCGUCAAAGCGCGGCGCUAGUGUGGCUUAGGCACUGCCGAGUUGUGAAAGCCCCGGGCUCAACCUGGUGAACGUGCUGCCGGAACUGCCUGGCUAGAGUGCAAGAAAAGAAUGUAGAAUUCCCGGUGAUAAUCGGAUGAAAUGCGAUCAUAGAUCGGCCAGAUAAUCCCAGGGGCGAAGGCGGCCUUCUGGCCUGACACUGACACUGAAGUGCGAAUAGCCUGGUAGCUAACAUGAUUUAGAUACCUCUGCUCUCCACGCCCUGAAACCAUUGUUGACUAGACGUUCGGGACCUUUGAGGACUUAGAGGGCGCUUUAACCCCAUAAGUCGGACCACNUGCGGAAUACUGCCGCCAAGAUGAAAACUCCCAAUGAAUUGACCGGGGGCGCCGCACAAACGGGGGUAACAUGCGGUGUUAAUUCGAUGCAACUCCAAAAAACCUUACCUACCCUUGACAUCCUNCGAAAUCCGUUAUAAAUACCUU
rnacentral:rRNA from 1 species